GUUUCUCCUUUUAUUCUUUCCUUUUCUUUCCAAAAUAAGCACCCGAUAGCUUUGGCCUUUUUAUGUCCGAUAUGUUUAUUACCUGAAUCUGAGUCGCCUCGGGAAUCAACAGGUUACCCUACCCAUCACCCAAUGCCCUCUGACGCGACGGACAGCAGGGGUCAAGACUAAACCAACACAUUGGUGGUGUACAGAUCUCAUUCUCAGUCUCAUUUUUGUAUAGGAAGGCUAUAUUAUUGGCCGUCGCACAACCCUGACAGACGAAAACAAGAGUGUAUGGAAGUUGAAACAGGCAGCUAUCUAGUGUUAUGGAUGAAAUGUACUUUAAGCACAAUUAGGAGGAUCCCCGUUCCCCCUCCUCCUUAUUCCAGUGGUGUGACCUCUGUCAGUGAUCCGACCUCCACCUCCCCACCUCCCUCUUGCGGAGUUGCAGUAACUGCAGCGGGGAAGUAGAAAGUCAUUUGGUGGAUGGCGUUUGGACUGCAUCGUGAGUUCUCUCUCUUUAUCAGUGCUCUAUUGGAAUGAGAUCUAGUGACUGUGAAGGCAAAAGAAGUGGC